GAUUCUAAAAUUAAACUAUUCCUUG
rnacentral:tRNA from 1 species